rnacentral:tRNA from 1 species
GGUUCCAUGUUGUAAUGGUUAGCACUCUGGAUUCUGAAUCCAGAGAUCCGAGUUCAAAACUCGGUGGAACCU